rnacentral:lncRNA from 1 species
UGUUGUAUGUUUGUAUAUGAGUCUUGCGUCGUGUGAACAUUACCUACAUGAGUUAAAGUGUUCCCGCGAAAGUAGGUACUGAAUUAGCUCAAGCCAGGAUUGCGUUGCGGAUAUAUUUGUAGGCCAUACAAUGUUUUAUGGCGUCAUUUACGACAUUUCCUGUUUUUCUUGUCGUUGUAUGCACGUGAGUUGUGCCGCAUGUUGCGCUUGUAAAUCAUGUUCUCAAUGUCAUUUUCUUUUGGUACAAUUGGUCACCACUACACAUCACUCGCAUACACUCGCCCAAGCAAGUCGGAUAUCAAUCACUGUCCAGAAGUGCAUGAUGCAUUCAACCACGCAUAGAACACUGGCACACCAAGAACAUGAACUCACGCAAAAACGAGAGGGCUAUCACACGACUUCGCAUUGGACACACCGCUAUCACACACAACUACAUCAUCACAAGAAGCCCGAGACCGAAAUGCAACACCUGCAACACUUUCAUCACUGUCAAACAUCUGCUACUCACAUGCCCACAAUACCAACACCACAGGACACACAUACAAACAUACUGCAGAGACGCCAACAUCCCACUAACACUCACAACACUGCUCGGGGACUUACACCCCGAGCUAACAACACUACUCAUCCACUUAAGACACAACACUGGGCUGAUCAAUGACCUGUAAAUCUCCUCCCCUAGAGCCAAGGACAAAAAAGCCAAAAAAGCCAAAAAAAGAAGCAAAAAAGAAAAAAAACAAUAUUCAAAACAAUGAGAAUCAAAAUAAAAGACCCCAGAAUGGCAAAAUGGCAAAAAAAAAACAAAAACAAAAAAAGAAUAAUAGAAGGGGCAAUCCGGCUACCCGGGAGGAGAUAGCUAGGAACCCAGUCCCACCCCUCAGCCCACCCUUGCGAGCCAAGAAGACAACGGACACUUCAAGGCAACGGACGGACCAACAACGAAGACGGACGACAGAACCGGGCCCAAAUACAGGACGCUGUGGUGGCCCGUAAGCUACAAAUACCAUACCAUACCAUACCAGUGCAUCAUGCAGCAGAAUAAGCUUCAUUGAACACACUCGUCAUCAUGAACGGCAUCUAGGAGUUUCAUGAGUUUGGAUCUGUGACCAGUAAGUGGAAUGGGAGCAUAAUGGUACACGCUACCAAACCAGAUAUGCCUACACAACGUUAAUAUUUUUUUUUUUGUAAUGCAACAAGGGAACGAAAAGCGUGUUCAAAACUUUAACUCCUUGUCCUUAUGUGCCUGCAGGCUGAUUUCGCAGUAUCCAAUGGCAACCGUGUAUGACCAGGCGCCGCUUGGACGCCUUGUCCAGUCACGUCUUCUGGGACUGUGUGAUGACUGCCUCUGCAUUCUCAAGUGCCAGUUUCUGCCUCCGGCCCAUUUCAUUAUCAAAGGAUGCUGUUAGCUUAACGAACAGCUCUGCUCCAAGAUUCCAAACGGUUUUACGGUACUGUAUGCCUACAAAACGUUAAUAUUUUUUGGAGGCGGUAAUACUCGGAUGAACUGACCUUUAUGGGUGGGUAUUCAACGUUGAAUAAAGUAGGCUUGUAGCCCUCUGCCUAUUGACUUCUAAGGGUUUUAGUAAUAUUUAUCGAAUAUCUCAUCUGAAAUGCAUUUUCACUCACAGUCGUCGAAAUCGAAAAAUCAUAAGCUUAGAAAUCCGCGGACUUGACAUAUUAUAUUUUAUCGACGAUUCGUUUCGACUUGCUGUCAUGUCAGCUAAUCAUCCGUUGCUUCUCCUAUUUUCACAGGUGCAUUACCAGUCAUCUUUACCGUCGAUACCGUUGAAGAUUUUACCGUCGAUCACGGAGCACCCAUUGCGCUGGCCGUUGCUGGCACUUUUUUAUUGUCACUAGCUAUUAGUUAUCUGCAGAUAUACAUUAGCCACCUGUACACCCGCUUACACUAGCUCUCAUCAUCUAGUUCUACGUAUGUGUGUGUUUGUUUUAAUUGUAUUGCCGAUGAAUUCGGUAGACAUGCUCCGCCCGCAAACAUGUACCACAUGAUGCAGUUCACUGAAUGUAGCAGUUAAUCACUCGUAAAAAGCGGUCAUGUUUUCGUAUAGUGUAGGUAUGCAUCUAUGUAAGCAUGUGUUCACACUCAUGAGCGAUCCACACAUGAUAUUGCAUUUCCUGUUCAGUUAUAUUUUUAGCACUGGAACACGAUGCUCAUACACUGUGUUGUUAUCUUUCUUUUUUCGCCUGCUCCUUCCUCCAACUUGUGUCUUUGAGUAUUUCAGUCACAUGCUCAAACGUUCUUAAAUGCUCUCGCCAUCGGUUUACGGAUGCGUUGAAAACGGACAUGUGAUGACCAAAUUUAACAAUAUGCGGACAAUGGAUCGACUUCUUGAAGCCUGUGGACGUGAUACACCUUCUCCAUCACCAUCAAGAGAUCAACAUUUUCGAAGACACUUGCGUACGGCUGCAGUGUCCGGCGCAAUGCUGAAUGCGACCUGUUAUCUGUUGGAUCUACUCUGUGAGCCCGAACCCCAGUGCAAUGGCACUGUUCGACUAUAGCGCUGGACGUCGUCUACUUUUUGCUAGAGGGAAAGGUCAUCAUCCGUCCAUGAACUUCGGGCUGCUCACAGCUAUAUUGCCUUGGCAAGUUCUUUGAGCACUCAAUACUGGACUUGGGCUGCGAAAGCUAAUGACAAUUUGGGUAGCUUGAUAUUGCAAUGGCUAUGACGUGAAGGCUCAAGAUGACGAACAGCUCGACUAUUCACCAUUGUCAACGCUUAUGAUAGCUAAAUAUCAUUGUGCUUGGUGUACAUUCACGUCUCGUUUCCUUGCUCCAUUUGUACCUCACCGGUCGUCCGUCCCCACAGGCCUCGGCUGCAGCACAAGCCACAUUCAUCGGCCCAAUCAUCAGUUAUCCAUCCUGCAAGUUUUAAGUCACUUCGUUGUGACCCGGACAUCGUCAUCUUUCAACGAGUUCAAAUGAUUAUUUCAUUCAUCAUCGUCGAUCAGACUCAUCAUGUAAAGACACUUCCAUAAUGCUAGCCGCCAUCUACGUUUGUGCAGGAAGCAAAUAUCAGGUUGUUAUUAGCUGCGGGCUACUCAGUACCGACUGAACUACUGGCAGUAGUGUGCGAGCACCUAAUACUUGUAUUGUGAUACCAAAGCUAAAACGGAUGAAAGCUUAGCGCAUAGGG